UACAGAGGGUGCUAGCGUUGUUCGGAAUCAUUGGGCGUAAAGGGCGUGUAGGCGGUUUGUUAAGUCAUGUGUGAAAUCCCUCGGCUCAACCGGGGAACGACGCAUGAAACUGGCAAGCUAGAGUACCAAAGAGGGGGGUGGAAUUCCCGGUGUAGCGGUGGAAUGCGCAGAUAUCAGGAGGAACACCAAUAGCGAAGGCAGCUCGCUGGGACGGUACUGACGCUAAGGCGCGAAAGCUAGGGUAGCAAACGGG
rnacentral:rRNA from 1 species